CACCCCCCUUACUCCGCCCCUGGUUGCAGGUGGUGUGGCUGGGGGCCCCCCCAGUCAAGUACAGUGGUACCUUGGGUUAAGAACUUAAUGCGUUCUGGAGCUCCAUUCUUAACAUCAAACUGUUCUUAACCUGAAGCACCACUUUAGCUCAUAGGGCCUCCCACUGCCGCUGUGCCACCGCUGCACGAUUUCUGAUCUCAUCCUGAGGUAAAGUUCUUAACCCGAGGUAAUAUUUCUGGGUUAGCGGAGUCUGUAACCUGAAGCGUAUGCAACCUGAAGCAUAUGUAACCCGAGGUACCACUGUAAAUAAAAAUAUUUAACUGACCAAUUGUGUCACAGGUGACUCAAUUCUGCCUCCCACCGGCUGCUGUUUGUCCUCUUUUUCCAGGACACAUCCUCUUUUUCAGGGGUAACAUUUUUAAAAUUUGCCAUAAUGUCUCUGGCUAUACUUUCUGGAUGAGUCCCAGACAAGACUGGUGAGUGAAGACUUGCUUUCCCCAUCUUUUCUCUUCUCCUGCCCCCUCCCCCAGCAAUAUAUCACAGCUUCUAUAGCCUACAUAUAGUAGGAGUAUUUAAAAUGAGAAUUGUCUUGGCGUCCUCUUUUUUGCUCUUUGAAAUAUGGCAACCCUAACUUGCCCCCCCUAAAAUAAAUCCUGGCUACACCCAUGGCAGGUGGUCAUAGCAACAGUGCCAAUUUGUUGAUAUAAUCAAGGAACAAUUACCAUGUACUUAGAAAUCUAUCCUUUUUACCCUGCCCAUUUAUCAUCACGCUGCUGUGUUGAUUCAAACUCCCAGAUUGUGCCAUGUCCCAUACCUGGGUAAAACCAAGUUCGUAAAGUGAGGGCCUCCCCCCAUUACCCACCUGACAGUUACCGGUAUUUCCAUUCUGGCAGUGGCUGUCAAAAGAGACCAUGGUCAAAGAAGGAAUAUUGGGGUUGAAAUCCACCCCCCCCCAAAGAACCAAAAAAUGCAAGCCAUGGAUCCCUGUUUAGUUUAUAACCAAUUAUGUUGAUGUCAGGAUUUGUUUGUUUGUUUGUUUGUUUUGCCAAAAUGGUACACAAAUGUUUUUGCACUAUUUUUUCGCUACCAGGAUGGGGCUUUACAAACCAUUGGAACAAUGGAGAGACAAGUAACCAAUUAUUUUUGUUUCCUCUUCUUGGCAGGCCUAUUCACACAACAUGUGCAUGGUUGGUCCUUAAUGCAGGAACCAGGAAGCUGUGACCCUCCAGACGCUGGAAGCCAUUGGAAGCAUGGUAAAAGUCCAGUCUGUGGUGUCCAUUCACAGGUGAAACUUAUUGCUGGGCAUUGCAGUGAUCUGGUGAUGAAUAUUUGUGUGUGUACCAGCCCUGAAAGCAAACUACAAAACUAAGUACAUUUUUCUGCACUAGUUAUUUCUGAAACGGUCUUCAAGGACCGCCCCACUUACAGUGCAUGGCAGUAAUCCCACUCUGGAGGUUACCAGAGCAUGGGUAACUGGGCAAGACGAUCCUGGUUCAGGAACAGCAAUGGCUGGCAAGAAGCGCUCUUGGGUCUUUUUACACAAGCACAAACCCAGGUUUCAGCAGGUGUGCCUUCAAGAGGGAGCUGCAAGCUACAAGUGUAACUUACAACAAAUGCCAAACAGAAAUCCAACAGGUGAAGCUUUCACCAGAAUGCAAAGGUGGUGACCGAGGUGGGGAAGUUUUGCUUACUGUUUAACAAGUAGGA